rnacentral:lncRNA from 10 species
UUUUAGUCACAUUUUUUCAUGUUGGUUGUCUUUCUAACAGAUUCCACAUUUCUGUGUGUGUGCGUGUGCAUGUGUGUGUGUGUGCACACACGCCAAGCCUUUUAUAUUUAAACCCUGUUGUUGCCAUUUUCAUUUCCUUGGGAAACACACACACUUACACAAAAACACACACAUCUUUUACUUGGAAAAUGGAUGAAUCCCGUGCUUUCUGAACACCUACUUAAAAGAGGCAUAUGCCAUCUCAGCAGGGUCCAGGGGCCAUCAACAGCAAGGGCUGGACUACUAGAGACAUCAUGGAAGGUGACCAAACACUCCCUCAGAGGCGUGGCCGGUUCAACAUAGAAGCUGCAAGUUUAUAACUGCAACAGUCUGCCCUUGGAGAUCAUACCAGCAUUUAUUUCAAAUCGAUGUUGAAAAAUAAAUGGAAGAUGGAGUAGAUGUCCUUUCCCCUUGUCCUCCCGCUGAGAGCCACUAAAAGCCGUGGACGCUAUGGAAGAAACAAACACAAGAUCUCUGCAAAGUGGACAGAGGUCAGACCGGCUCAGGACUAUGGAAACCAAGAAAUGACAUGCCACAUUCACCUGUGGAGCAGCAAGGCCGUGGAGGUGACCUGAACUUGUUGCCCUGUUCAGCCCAGAGGCUGUCCCUAUACUGACAGCAGAUUUCUUGCUUUGAAUUAUCUGUGUAAUAAAAGAGUCCUUCCGAGCUUCAACUGACAUUCUGAGGCUGAGAGAGGAAGAUCCAUUUUUUUCCCCAUCUAAUUCUUUCUUUCACUUUUUUUUUCUGAUGAUGAAAAAUUUUUUUUUUGGUUUGCAUUUUGGAGGAUUUUCUUAAUGUGCUGCAUACAGCUCUCGGCUUGUGGUCCACUGCGGGCUGUCUCUCCUCAGACUGGAAUGAUUAGGCAGUGAAAGAGACUUACCUUUUCCAAGGAGUACCUCUGUUUCAGAAUUCAGGGUGGAGCAUGCUGGCAACCUUUUGGGGGCACUUUAGAUAUGAAUGAGUUUGAAGGCGUAGCUAUGAUCCUUUCAGAGGCCAUUUAGUGCCAAACUGUAUCCUGUGAUUCAUGUGUAUAUCCAUCUGAUUAAAGACAAGACGGGUGAUAAAGAGAAAAUAAAAGAAAAUGAAGAAGAAAUAAAAGAAGUGUGAACUAGUCAGCCUGAGAAGCUUGUUCCUGUUCUUUCUAAUCAAAAAUUCAUUAUUUAAGUGUCAUACCUCUAUUCUGGGUACCUGUGAAACACAGCCCUGGGG